UAAGGUAUGCAAGUCGAACGAUCCCUUUCUGAUUUCUAGUAACUUCGGUUGCUAGUUUUCUAUCUGGGAUAGUGGCAAACGGGUGAGUAACACGUAGAUAACUUGCCUCGAAGUCGGGAAUAGCUCGUCGAAAGACGGGGUAAUAUCCGAUGGUCUCUAACCACUUCGUGUGUUUUAGAGUAAAGCUUUUGUGCUUCGAGAGAGGUCUGCGUCCUAUCAGCUAGUUGGUAAGGUAAUGGCUUACCAAGGCUAAGACGGGUAGCUGGUGUGAGAGCACGGUCAGCCACCAUGGAACUGAGACACGGUCCAUACUCCUACGGGAGGCAGCAAUUAGGAAUCUUGCGCAAUGGGGGCAACCCUGACGCAGCGACACAGCGUGGAGGAUGAAGGUCUUCGGAUUGUAAACUCCUUUUAUAUGGGAAGAAUAGAUGACUGUACCAUAUGAAUAAGGACCUGCUAACUACGUGCCAGAAGCAUCGGUGAUGCGUAGGGUCCGAACGUUAUCCGGAUUUAUUGGGUGUAUAGAGAUGCGUAGGCGGUUUGAUAAGUCUUGAGUUAAAGACCUCGGCUCAACCGAGGAAAAGCUUUCGAUACUAUCAGACUUGAGGCAUAGAGGGGUGAACGGAAUUCCGAGUGGAGUGGUGAAAUACGUUGAUAUUCGGAGGAACAUCAGUGGCGAAGGCGGUUCACUGGCUAUUGCCUGACGCUCAGGCUCGAAAGCGUGGGUAGCAAAACGGAUUAGAUACCCGUGUAGUCCACGCUGUAAACUAUGGAUGCUAGGUGUUCGGUACAACUGUUUUUAAUCUUCGGAUUUUAAACGGGAGUGCUGAGUGCCGCAGCUAACGCGUUAAGCAUCCCACCUGGGAAGUACGG
rnacentral:rRNA from 1 species